UUAUUUUUAAAGUGAAUUUCCAAAACUUUGACAAAAACAUAUUUUUGGAAUCUUCUUGAAAAUUUUACCUUGAGACAAAUUUUCUUGGGUUUUCCUUCUCAACACUUCUAGUUUGGAAAGAGUCCUACUUUAUUUCCCCUCUGGACCAAGAUUUCCACUUGAAGAUCCCUUUCCAUUCUUUUGAAAAUUCUUUAAUGGUUUGUGUGAGAUAUCUUGCUAACUUAGUUUUGCCCUAAAACUUUUCCCUCUUCCCCC
rnacentral:lncRNA from 1 species